AUAGUAAAACUAAGUAUGGGAUGAGGUUCGAAAAUACUAUAAAAUGUAAACAUAAAGCGACAUGGUAAAUUGAACCCCGCACAUGGUAAUUUCAAGCAGGAAGCAUAGUCUACCAAAAUCAAGUGGUAAAAGUGUUUUAAGUUGACCCUCGAUCCGGUCAUAAUUACUAUGUCCUUUUUUUCAGUGCAGGGAUGCCACACGGUUGUUUGUAAAAACCCAUCGAUGAGUAAAAAAAUACUCAUUUUUGAAAAAGAUGCAGUUCUGUCAAAACAUGGGUAAAACGGAUAUCACGAAAAGGGUAAAAAAAUACCCGUUGUUGAAAACAGCUUUGCUACCCAUUAAUGGGUGAAAAAUAGUUGUGAACAUUUUUACAAACACGCCACAUUUUGGUCUCGUUAGCUGAACAGGACUGAACAUUUUCCUGCAACCAAAAUAGGAAUAAAAUGGCAGAGAUAAAAGAAAUAUAGCAACAAGAAUGAUGACAUCUGCGACGAUUGGCGAACCAUCCUGGAAGCGGCACCAUCAAGGGCACCAUCCUCAUCAAUAAUUGGAAUUUCGAACAAUUUAAUUAUCAAAUAUGUGAUUGACAAUCAUCUCUGUAAUAAAAAUAAUAGGAGGAAUAUA